rnacentral:rRNA from 1 species
GACGAACGCUGGCGGCGUGCUUAACACAUGCAAGUCGAACGGAAAGGCCCUGCUUUUGUGGGGUGCUCGAGUGGCGAACGGGUGAGUAACACGUGAGUAACCUGCCCUUGACUUUGGGAUAACUUCAGGAAACUGGGGCUAAUACCGGAUAGGAGCUCCUGCUGCAUGGUGGGGGUUGGAAAGUUUCGGCGGUUGGGGAUGGACUCGCGGCUUAUCAGCUUGUUGGUGGGGUAGUGGCUUACCAAGGCUUUGACGGGUAGCCGGCCUGAGAGGGUGACCGGCCACAUUGGGACUGAGAUACGGCCCAGACUCCUACGGGAGGCAGCAGUGGGGAAUAUUGCACAAUGGACGGAAGCCUGAUGCGGCAACGCCGCGUGCGGGAUGACGGCCUUCGGGUUGUAAACCGCUUUCGCCUGUGACGAAGCGUGAGUGACGGUAAUGGGUAAAGAAGCACCGGCUAACUACGUG